AAGGAUUCCCCUAGUAACGGCGAGUGAAGAGGGAAAAGCUCAAAUUUAAAAUCUGGCGGUCUACGGCCGUCCGAGUUGUAAUCUAGAGAAGUGUUUUCCGCGCUGGACCGUGUACAAGUCCUUUGGAACAAGGCGUCAUAGAGGGUGAGAAUCCCGUCUACGACACGGACUGCCAAGCGCUUUGUGAUACACUCUCAACGAGUCGAGUUGUUUGGGAAUGCAGCUCAAAAUGGGUGGUAAAUUCCAUCUAAAGCUAAAUAUUGGCGAAAGACCGAUAGCGAACAAGUACCGUGAGGGAAAGAUGAAAAGCACUUUGGAAAGAGAGUUAAACAGUACGUGAAAUUGUUGAAAGGGAAACGCUUGAAGUCAGUCGCGUCUUCAGAAAUUCAGCUGGGCUUCUGCCUAGUGUACUUUUCUGUGGGACGGGCCAGCAUCAGUUUUGGCUGCCAGAAAAAGGUCGGAGGAAGGUGGCACCUCCGGGUGUGUUAUAGCCUCUGAUCGUAUGUGGCAGCCGGGAUUGAGGACCGCAGCACGCCUUUAUGGCCGGGGUUCGCCCACGUAACGUGCUUAGGAUGCUGGCGUAAUGGCUUUAA
rnacentral:rRNA from 1 species